rnacentral:rRNA from 1 species
CGUGCCCGGGGCGAAGCCUGAGCAGCAACGCCGCGCUGGGGGAUGAAGGCCUCCGGGUCGUAAACCCCUGUCGGGAGGAACGAAUGCUCCCGCCGUUAAUAACGGCGGGAAGUGACGGUACCUCCAAAGGAAGCACCGGCUAACUCCGUGCCAGCAGCCGCGGUAAUACGGAGGGUGCAAGCGUUGUUCGGAAUUACUGGGCGUAAAGGGCGUGUAGGCGGAUGAGGUAGUCGGGUGUGAAAUCCCUCGGCUUAACCGAGGAAUGGCGCUCGAAACCACUCAUCUUGAGGUCCGGAGAGGAUCGGGGAAUUCCCAGUGUAGAGGUGAGAGGGGGGAGAUAUUGGGAGGAACACCGGUGGCGAAGGCGCCGAUCUGGACGGAUUCUGACGCUGAAACGCGAAAG